rnacentral:rRNA from 1 species
GGGGAAUAUUGCACAAUGGGGGAAACCCUGAUGCAGCAACGCCGCGUGAGUGAUGAAGGUUUUCGGAUCGUAAAGCUCUGUCUUUGGGGAAGAUAAUGACGGUACCCAAGGAGGAAGCCACGGCUAACUACGUGCCAGCAGCCGCGGUAAUACGUAGGUGGCGAGCGUUAUCCGGAUUUACUGGGCGUAAAGGGAGCGUAGGCGGAUGAUUAAGUGGGAUGUGAAAUACCCGGGCUCAACUUGGGUGCUGCAUUCCAAACUGGUUAUCUAGAGUGCAGGAGAGGAGAGUGGAAUUCCUAGUGUAGCGGUGAAAUGCGUAGAGAUUAGGAAGAACACCAGUGGCGAAGGCGACUCUCUGGACUGUAACUGACGCUGAGGCUCGAAAGCGUGGGGAGCAAAC